ensembl:lncRNA
CCACUUUGCAGCCUAACACGAGCCUUUGAGCCUUCGUCUGUGCCCCAGCAGAUUGCAGUGGGGAUUGCAGUAGGAUCUGAAGAGCAGAGGGGCGAGCAGGCCUUGCGGCAGUGUGCCCCCCCCCAUGCCCCACAUGGAACGGCUGAGCCCGGGCUCGUGCUGUGCAGCACCCACAGACAUCACAGCGAGCAGCGACCACUUUCCAGAAACAGGCCGUUUGUUAGCACGUGCUCGCUCAAAAGUAAACAGCUCGUUAAGCCCCAUUUCCUUUAUUGUUUCACGUAGCACCUAUGGAGAAUCACAAUGAAAGUUAUCCUUCCGGAAGCCGCGGUGUAAACGCUUUGCACGCACAGGAAUUCAAAUAACGCAAUCACCGCCGCAUCUUAUGAGGCUCUGCAGCACGUCCUGCAACACCACCUUCCCCUCCUCAGAUGCUGCAGCGCUGUUGCAGUCACUGUCCGGCAAACACAACGUGGAACAAGAAGCAAAACCACCCGGGCUUACAGCGCGAACCUACACUACAACAUACAAUCGUGUCUGUGACACAUGGGCUCAGGUUCCCGACUGUGAGGCACGCGGAAAAUGGAGAAUUCUUUUCUGCAAUCGCCAAAAAAAGGUUCUGUUCCCCGAUUUUCACAAGUCCGGCUCCUGACGAUAUGUGCGUGUAUCUAUUUGUCGUUAUGCGGGCACACCCGCGAGCCGCGCUCCGGGCACGGCAGUGAGGAGAGCUCUGAAGAGAAACGGCCACGCGCGGCUCCUUUGUCUGCCGGGCCGGGCCCCGCCCGCGCGGCCUCACACGACCCCGUCCGCCGCCCCUCCCUCGCUCUCCGCCUCUCCUCGCUCAGGCUCUCGGCCGUGCCUGCAGGGGGGCGGAGGCCUAUUUUUAGACGCCCUCAGGAGGCCUCUCCGCUGAGAGCUCCCGCGCUCCGCGAGGUUGUCACCCGCCAGCG